UGAGCUUUUAUGUGCUGAGGACUUCAAAAUGACUAUGAGCUGCUGAAAUGGAUUCCUUUUCCCUCUUUCUCUAACCACAGGAAGGCAGUUAGGAGGGAAGGUUUCAGAAACCCUCCGAUCUAUUUUUAACUCAUAUAAUGGCUUUUAUGCUCUAAUGGACAGCAGGGGCACCACCAUAUUUGGUACACAUGGAAUAAAGAAGUGGGAAUGGCUCUUAUGAAAUCAAAGGUGAGAAGAGCAGCUUGAUUAGAGCAACUACACAUGGAGAAGGUUUGAAGCUCUCUUGAACAGAUUUGAAUAUCCAGGCAAAUAUGUUAACUUAUGUCAAU
rnacentral:lncRNA from 1 species